rnacentral:lncRNA from 1 species
CAGCUCGGAGCUCGAGUUACAAGCCGGAGAGACGGUCCAGGGAGAUUUGGGGUCCUGCCGAUAACGAUCGGGGAAUGCAUCAGCAUUCCAGGAUGCAUUUCAAACCAUUCCUAUUGGCUGGAUAAAGCCUCUCUUUUUUUAAAAGGAAUUAUAGAAAAAUCCCUGUCUUAAUUUCUUCAUGAUUUCAAUCAGGGCCUCUGCGACAGAGAGGAAAGGAGAGAAGGAAAAAAAACACAAAACACAAAGACAUAAAAAGUUGCGCAUCAUUCCGCUUCCACAUUGGCUUGAGGGGAAAAACACCUCGGAGCAUGCAAGCAGAACGGAUGGGUUUAUUGGUUUUAACCAGGAGUCAAUCACACCGAGUAACGUGAGCCCAGACAAGGCGCGGAGGCUAGAUUGCGAGGACACUAAACGCUGGAAAAUGAGGGAGGGGAAACACCAUCUCCCUACUUACAAACGUCUGAUAAUCCAGCACAUGUGCUGCCUUCUAAAGGGAUACUUAGGCUUUUAAGCUUCUUUGUCAUUCCCAUCCGAGCUUACAGAGUUGGGCCAGGAACAUCAAGUCAUGUUCAAUUUAGUCUGCUGAUCCUGAACAAACCAUUGUGGGGAUGGGAGAACGGCAGUGCUGGGGACUAGUUGUCAGAUUAGACAAGUGGAACAAGACACACACUCAAAAAGAAUGAUGCAGCUUAACUAUUCAUUUGCAGUUUUAAUUCUGGGCAUAAAGAUUGGACUCUGUUCUGUAUGUGACCAAUGUUCUAGAAAGGAAAACUCACAAAGACCUUUAUUUCCUUUGUUUUGUAUUUAUUUAGUAUGGUCAGGGCGUGAGUUGGGUGGGCAGUCUAUGUUUGUUUUUCUAUGAUUUGGGGAUUUGUAUGUUUCGGCCUAGUAUGGUUCUCAAUCAGAGGCAGGUGUCAUUAGUUGUCUCUGAUUGAGAAUCAUACUUAGGUAGCCUGGGUUGCACUGUUUGUUUGUGGGUGAUUGUCUAUGUUAGUUGCUUGUGUCAGCACAGGUCUCAUUUAUAGCUUCACGGUCGUUAUUAGUUUAUUGUUUUUGUAUUCAGUACUUUCUUUAAUUAAAUAUCAAGAUGAACACAAACCACGCCGCGUUUUGGUCCGUCUUUCCUUCAACAGAAGAAUCCCGUGACAGUUUUGCCUGGUCAGCUUUCAGAUGUGGAUGCAUUUGUAAG